rnacentral:rRNA from 1 species
GACGAACCGUGCGAACGUUGUUCGGAAUCACUGGGCUUAAAGGGCGCGUAGGCGGGCGAUCAAGUCAGAGGUGAAAUCCCACGGCUCAACCGUGGAAGUGCCCCUGAUACUGGUUGUCUCGAGGGAGAUAGGGGCGUGCGGAACUUUUGGUGGAGCGGUGAAAUGCGUAGAUAAUCAAAAGGAACACCGGUGGCGAAAGCGGCGCGCUGGAUCUCUACUGACGCUGAGGCGCGAAAGCCAGGGGAGCAAACGGG